rnacentral:rRNA from 1 species
CGAGCGAACAGAAAAGGAGCUUGCUCCUUUGACGUUAGCGGCGGACGGGUGAGUAACACGGGGCAACCUACCCUAUAGUUUGGGAUAACUCCGGGAAACCGGGGCUAAUACCGAAUAAUCUCUUUUGCUUCAUGGCAAGAGACUGAAAGACGGCUUCUCGUUGUCGCUUUAGGAGGGGCCCGCGGCGCAUUACCUAGUUGGGGAGGUAACGGCUCACCAAGGCGACAAUGCGUAGCCAACCUGAAAGGGUGAUCGGCCCCCCUGGGACUGAAACACGGCCCAAACUCCUACGGGAGGCAGCAGUAGGGAAUCUUCCCCAAGGGGCAAAAGCCUGAUGGAGCACCGCCGCGUGAGUGAAAAAGGUUUUCGGAUCGUAAAACUCUGUUGUAAGGAAAAAACAAGUACAGUAGUAACUGGUUGUACCUUGACGGUACCUUAUUAGAAAGCCACGGUUAACUACGUGCCAGCAGCCGCGGUAAUACGUAGGUGGCAAGCGUUGUCCGGAAUUAUUGGGCGUAAAGCGCGCGCAGGCGGUCCUUUAAGUCUGAUGUGAAAGCCCACGGCUCAACCGUGGAGGGUCAUUGGAAACUGGGGGACUUGAGUGCAGAAGAGGAAAGUGGAAUUCCAAGUGUAGCGGUGAAAUGCGUAGAGAUUUGGAGGAACACCAGUGGCGAAGGCGACUUUCUGGUCUGUAACUGACGCUGAGGCGCGAAAGCGUGGGGAGCAAACAGGAUUAGAUACCCUGGUAGUCCACGCCGUAAACGAUGAGUGGUAAGUGUUAGGGGGUUUCCGCCCCUUAGUGCUGCAGCUAA